CAGUUCUCAUGCCGGAUAAUGAUACAAAUGCAGAGGCAAAGAUGCAUUCUGCUGCUAUGUUUUGGCAACAAUCCUCUGAUCAUAGAAUAAUAGCAAGCAAUCCCAGACUCAAAGCAGGGAUGGAGAUGGGUUUCCAUGGCUGAAGGAAGAAACAGCUCGUUGGUCUCCUGCAAAAAGUUGGAACAUGUUUAAAGAAUUACUCUACAUCAGUGAAUCCGCAACCCUUUUCUGUAUGCAAUAAGGUCAUGCAGCUGCAGGGAAAGGAGUUUGCUUGCUCGUUCCUCUCCACCACUCUCCAUCUGCCAGCAUCUCCAGGAGAGAAGAGGAAGAACAUCUUAAGAAGGCAACCCCCACUCUGCAUGCUCUCACUCCUCGACAUCCUUCUCCUUGCCUUGUUAUUCUUCUUACCGCUCAUCUCCCCUCCACCGCCGGUCUUUCUCUAUCUCUGGCCUCGCUGACUCCACCAUGUCCCAGGGCGUGAGUUCGUAAGCAGACUCCACCAUGCCAUGCGCCAUACCCAGCUCUGGGUGCCAUGAUCUGUGCUUCGCAUCAUCAAAACUGAACUGGCCAGUGAUCAUGACUGUGGGAGACAGGAAAGGAACGAGAAGAGGUGGAGAAGCAAAUGCUUGUGUAAAAUCUGCUACAGUGUGUGAUUCACAUGCUGCCUGGAUUACUGUCAGGUGGGGUUGAUGGUUGGCUGGAAAGUCAAGGCUGCUAAGUAAAUUCAAAUACGGGUGGAAUUAUUGCAGAAUCUUCUGUCUCCAACGAAGACCAACAAGUCUUCUAUCUUCGUCAAAGACCUCUCAUCUUUUUCUUGGCUAUGGUUGGCAUCACAGCGACCGGUUUGCUUGGAUCUCUGGCAAUGUCGGUCUUCUAUCUUCUCAGAUCGGGUCUUGUAUAGGGUGGCAUUUCAAAUCUACAGUGUAUCAGAAAGGUGAGCUCGUCGAUCCAUUCGAGAGCCAACAUAUAUACUGUUCUUCUUAGCGUGCAGGCUCUCGAAAAUGACAAAAGGGACACGACCUCAGCUUGUUGUC